GCCGAGGUGGUGAAAUUGGUAGACACGCUACGUUCAGGUCGUAGUGAGGCAACUCGUGGAGGUUCGAAUCCUCUCCUCGGUACCA
rnacentral:tRNA from 1 species